GUCCUACAUCAGACUCAUCUCUGCUCUCGCUCCCACUCAGCCCACCAUGACCUUUAUUCCAGUUGCUGUUGCUUUCCUCGUGGGACUCGUCGUAGGAGUUGCACUUUUAGCAUCUGCAAAGAAUCAGACUGUGGAUUUCUCUGUGAAUACCCAGGGUGCACGGUUCCGUGUUGGGGGAAAACAAAAGGCCUUGGCCCCGAGCAUCAACCCAAGCUAUGCUGUCCAGAAGAAGAACUGGUGACCACUGCCAGUGAACAGAAG